rnacentral:rRNA from 2 species
GGGGGGCUGCUCCUAGUACGAGAGGACCGGAGUGGACGCAUCACUGGUGUUCGGGUUGUCAUGCCAAUGGCACUGCCCGGUAGCUAAAUGCGGAAGAGAUAAGUGCUGAAAGCAUCUAAGCACGAAACUUGCCCCGAGAUGAGUUCUCCCUGACUCCUUGAGAGUCCUGAAGGAACGUUGAAGACGACGACGUUGAUAGGCCGGGUGUGUAAGCGCAGCGAUGCGUUGAGCUAACCGGUACUAAUGAACCGUGAGGCUUAACCUUACAACGCCGAAG